GUCUACACAAUACCAUCCUUAAGGCCCCCAAUCUCAUCUGACCUAGGAAGCUAAACAGAGUCAAGACUAGUUAUUAUGCCAUCUGGCAAUAUUGAGUACUAUAGGCU
rnacentral:rRNA from 1 species